UACAGAGGCCUCGAGCGUUAGGCGGAAUCACUGGGCUUAAAGCGUGUGUAGGUGGAUGCCUAAGUACCUUGUGAAAUCCCACGGCUUAACCGUGGAACUGCUUGGUAUACUGGGUGUCUUGAGCCACUCAGGGGCUACCGGAACAAAUGGUGGAGCGGUGAAAUGCGUAGAUAUCAUUUGGAACGCCAAUGGUGAAAACAGGUAGCUGGGGGUGUGCUGACACUGAGACACGAAAGCCAGGGGAGCAAACGGG
rnacentral:rRNA from 1 species